GAUGAACGCUGGCGGCGUGCCUAAUACAUGCAAGUCGAGCGAACAGACGAGGAGCUUGCUCCUCUGACGUUAGCGGCGGACGGGUGAGUAACACGUGGAUAACCUACCUAUAAGACUGGGAUAACUUCGGGAAACCGGAGCUAAUACCGGAUAAUAUAUUGAACCGCAUGGUUCAAUAGUGAAAGACGGUUUUGCUGUCACUUAUAGAUGGAUCCGCGCCGCAUUAGCUAGUUGGUAAGGUAACGGCUUACCAAGGCGACGAUGCGUAGCCGACCUGAGAGGGGGAUCGGCCACGCUGGAACUGAGACACGGUCCAGACUCCUACGGGAGGCAGCAGUAGGGAAUCUUCCGCAAUGGGCGAAAGCCUGACGGAGCAACGCCGCGUGAGUGAUGAAGGUCUUCGGAUCGUAAAACUCUGUUAUUAGGGAAGAACAAAUGUGUAAGUAACUAUGCACGUCUUGACGGUACCUAAUCAGAAAGCCACGGCUAACUACGUG
rnacentral:rRNA from 1 species